rnacentral:piRNA from 1 species
UAAAAAUAGCGUGUAUGUACA